rnacentral:lncRNA from 1 species
AACGUUUGAUGACAUCAAGAUACAAUUUAUUUGUCAACUUCAUAUAAAUAUAUCCUUAUUAUAACGAACAUUAGGAACGAUUUAAAUUUCAAUUUACAUUUACAUUUUUGAGAAAAAUUACUGUGGAUUCAUUAUUCUUCCUUGGGUACCAAUUUUCGUGGGAGCAGGUAAACCAGGAGUUCAUAUCUUCAACGAAUUACAAAUUUCCUAUUGGCUUUUAUACAGAGAUUGGUAAAAGCACAAAAACAAAAUAUCAGUGCAAAUGUUAGAUUUCCUUAAUCCAUUGUUACACACGAAAAUAAAUUAAUCCACAGUAUGCCAUAGAUUAGUACUUAAUAGUUCAGGCGUAAAUCAUGAAGUCAAAUCUAAUUUUGAAAAAAGAAGUUAUUAUCCUUGAAUGGGCUUCUGCCUCUUUCAUCAGUAUUUUCACAUGCCUAUCAUUUUUAGAAAUGUCACAAACUUCAGUGUUUUUGUAGCUUUUAAGAUAAGAACUUCCAUUAAAAUAUAUGUGUAAGCUUGUUUAUUAUGUUUUAUGACACAUGGAAGUCUCUUCUUGUUAAUCUAGGUUUGUCAGACUUGGUUUUACUGCCCCUAACUAUUUUGUUGUAUUUGGACUUUAUAUACAGAGUGACUUUUGGAGAUGAUUGUAGUGCACUGUUUAUCUCCACAAGAAUAGGUUCAAGUUAUUUUUCUUUUAACAUGUUUAACAAAUAUUUGAUUAAAAGUAAGAUAAUUUCUCAAUCAAAAAUGAAAUUAGUUUUAAUUUUUAUAAAUCAACUUUUUUGUAAAGAUGAAUAUGAAAUUUUCAAGAUUUACUUAGGCAACUUUAAUUCAUUUAAAUAAAUGUGGGAGGGAACAAUAAAAAUGUUAAUUUUUGGACCAUUGGUUGUUGGACAUCAAAGGUUGUAUGCAAAGUUGAUGUAUGUUUUUUUAAGAGGUGGUACAUCGAAAUUCCCAUGAACUUUCCUUCCUUGAACAUCAUUUUAAUGGAAUAAUCCCUUAAACUUCUUACUUCACUUUAUUUUAAUAAACAAUAUUUAUUUAUUUGAGAUCAAACACAACAUAUAAAUAAUAAAAAUGUCUAGGUACUGGAGGCAUAUAAACAUCUAUGGUAUGUAUAUUCAGUUUCGAGAGCUCCAAUGUAAGCAAUGUCAAUUAUGGCAUCUUAUAAAUUCACAAGAAACUUUUCAUGCUUUAUGUAUCUUGAUAUAAAGAAUGAAAUUUACAUGAAAUUCAUUUUUUAUGAUCGAAAAUCUUUUUUAAAACAUAUUCUGUGAUUUGUAUACAUGUAUAUGGUUAAUAUUUUGUUUGUAUUUGAGAUUAUGUCUUAGGUUACACAUUACACACAUGGUGAUUCAAUGCAUAUGGAUAGUCUCUGUUGCUGGUUUGAAUGUGAUAACAUCUUGAACUUUAACCCUGAUACAUAUAUAUCAAGAGACAUCUUGAAAAGGGACCACCCACAAUUGACUGCAAUCAGUUUUGGAAAAAAAACUAUUGGGAAUAAUUUUUGGUGAAUCACCCUGUGUCUACUGUAAAUUGUUUUGUGUAAGGUGUAAAUUAUGUACUUAUUCUUGUAUGCACAUCUAUUUUAUACACAAAUUUCUUGUAGUAUAUAAUUGAUAUUAUGUAUACCGACCAUGUGAAGGCUUUAUAGCCAGUCAAGGUCGUUAAAAACUCCCAUCAUCGUAUACACGUAUAAGAAUCUAAGUUUUCACCGACUUUUUACAAAACAAGUUUGAAAAGGUGAUUGACAACUUCGCCAAAGAUAUUUAGAAUUAUAAACUUUAUUCAAAUACUGUGGAUUCAGGUUUUUUCCAGAGUAUCAGUUUUUGUGGAUUGAAUACAAAUUCUAUUCUCCAUGUAUAUUUUAUCUGUUAUAUAUAGAUUUAAGUUAUUUAGUAAAAGUCUGUAUACAACCUUAGUUAACAUUUUAAUGAAAUCCACAAAAAUUGUUACUCCACACAUAAUAAUGAAUCUACAGUAAAUUAAAACAUUUUAUUUAUUUACUCCUACUUAUAAAUGGAAAAUAUCAUAUUUAUGGAUUUAUUUUACAUAAAAGUAGACAACAAACUGAAAGAGUUGAAAGUUUCUUAUGACUUCAUUCUACAAGGGCACUAAUUUAUUUAAAAAAAAGAAUCUGUUUUGUACUAUAUAUAUAAGAUUGUGAUACUUUUUCUCUGUUUUGUUUCAUUAGUUUACUCUGUACAUCUUUU